UCCUAGCUUGCUAGGAGGCGUCGAGCGGCGGACGGGUGAGUAACGCAUAGGAAUCUGCCCGGUAGUGGGGGAUAACCUGGGGAAACCCAGGCUAAUACCGCAACGCCCUACGGGGGAAAGCAGGGGCUCUUCGGACCUUGCGCUAUCGGAUGAGCCUAUGUCGGAUUAGCUGGUUGGUGAGGUAAUGGCUCACCAAGGCGACGAUCCGUAGCUGGUCUGAGAGGAUGAUCAGCCACAUCGGGACUGAGACACGGCCCGAACUCCUACGGGAGGCAGCAGUGGGGAAUAUUGGACAAUGGGCGCAAGCCUGAUCCAGCCAUGCCGCGUGUGUGAAGAAGGCCCUCGGGUUGUAAAGCACUUUCAGUGGGGAAGAAAUCCUCGGGGCUAAUACCCUCGAGGGAGGACAUCACCCACAGAAGAAGCACCGGCUAACUCCGUGCCAGCAGCCGCGGUAAUACGGAGGGUGCGAGCGUUAAUCGGAAUUACUGGGCGUAAAGCGCGCGUAGGCGGCCUGAUAAGCCGGUUGUGAAAGCCCCGGGCUCAACCUGGGAACGGCAUCCGGAACUGUCAGGCUAGAGUGCAGGAGAGGAAGGUAGAAUUCCCGGUGUAGCGGUGAAAUGCGUAGAGAUCGGGAGGAAUACCAGUGGCGAAGGCGGCCUUCUGGACUGACACUGACGCUGAGGUGCGAAAGCGUGGGUAGCAAACAGGAUUAGAUACCCUGGUAGUCCACGCCGUAAACGAUGUCGACUAGCCGUUGGGGUCCUUGAGACCUUUGUGGCGCAGUUAACGCGAUAAGUCGACCGCC
rnacentral:rRNA from 1 species